CUUGGUCAUUUAGAGGAAGUAAAAGUCGUAACAAGGUUUCCGUAGGUGAACCUGCGGAAGGAUCAUUAUUGAAAUAAACUUGAUGGGUUGUUGCUGGUUCUCUAGGGAGCAUGUGCACACCUUGUCAUUUUUAUAUCUCCACCUGUGCACUUUUUGUAGACCUUUCAGGUCUAUGUUGCUUCAUUUACCCCAAUGUAUGUUAAUAGAAUGUUGUGCCUAUAUAAUAUAUACAACUUUCAGCAACGGAUCUCUUGGCUCUCGCAUCGAUGAAGAACGCAGCGAAAUGCGAUAAGUAAUGUGAAUUGCAGAAUUCAGUGAAUCAUCGAAUCUUUGAACGCACCUUGCGCUCCUUGGUAUUCCGAGGAGCAUGCCUGUUUGAGUGUCAUUAAUAUAUCAACCUUCUCUUUUUGAGUGGUUUGGAUGUGGGAGUUUGCUGGCCUCUUAAAAAGGUCUUGGCUCUCCUGAAAUACAUUAGCAGAACAACCCUGUUCAUUGGUGUGAUAACUAUCUACGCUAUUGAAUGUGAAGGGCAGUUUGGCUUUCUAACAGUCCUUGGACAAGCUCAUCAUUAAUGUGACCUCAAAUCAGGUAGGACUACCCGCUGAACUUAAGCAUAUCAAUAAGCGGAGGA
rnacentral:rRNA from 1 species